rnacentral:rRNA from 1 species
ACAUCCAGAGAACUUAGCAGAGAUGCUUUGGUGCCUUCGGGAACUCUGAGACAGGUGCUGCAUGGCUGCCGUCAGCUCGUGUGGUGAAAUGUUGGGUUAAGUCCCGNAACGAGCGCAACCCUUAUCCUUUGUUGCCAGCGGUUCGGCCGGGAACUCAAAGGAGACUGCCGGUGAUAAACCGGAGGAAGGUGGGGAUGACGUCAAGUCAUCAUGGCCCUUACGGCCAGGGCUACACACGUGCUACAAUGGCGCAUACAAAGAGAAGCGACCUCGCGAGAGCAAGCGGACCUCAUAAAGUGCGUCGUAGUCCGGAUUGGAGUCUGCAACUCGACUCCAUGAAGUCGGAAUCGCUAGUAAUCGUAGAUCAGAAUGCUACGGUGAAUACGUUCCCGGGCCUUGUACACACCGCCCGUCACACCAUGGGAGUGGGUUGCAAAAGAAGUAGGUAGCUUAACCUUCGGGAGGGCGCUUACCACUUUGUGAUUCAUGACUGGGGUGAAGUCGUAACAAGGUAAGCGUAGCGAG